AAAGAUCCAGGAGGAGGAGAAAACCCAGAACCCUGCAGGGAGAAGGAGCUGACUCCACCGAGGCCCAGGCCCUGGGGGAGGAGGAGCAGGGCUGCGGAGCUCUUGGGAGAUGUCCUUCCAGAUUAGAAUGGUUUCUAUUUUCCUGCCCAGACCCUGAUUUGCAUAAAAGGAAAAAUGACUGCCACACGCGGCACCAACAGUCCCUAAAGGCAGGAGAGGAGCCUGUCAGGCAACGCUGUCACUCACACCAGACGGGGUGGAUCUUCCAGACCCCCGCCCCUCCCACUCAGGCUCCCCAACAGCCAGUGGGUUCUGGAGCCGCCCGAUUCUGCUGGCUGGGACUGGCCCAAGGCUGCACCGUGCCCUGGCUGCCCAGGAGGAUGGGAAAGCAAGGCCUGGCGCUUUCCACCGCUGCCCCAGGGACUACGGGUGGGGAGCCUGGACAUCCCACAGCACCUGCCCCCCCGGGGGGGCUCCAUCCUCACUGCUGCUCCAGGGACGGCCUCGCCCUGCCUGGACCAGCUCCUGUCCCCUGCUGUCCUGAUCCACUUCUGAGCUUGGGGGACUCCCCAGCUGAGUGACGGGACCAGGUCACAUGCUCCACCCUUAGGCCUGAGCCCCACAAAAAGACGGGGAGAGUGAGGGCUUAUUUACCCGUGUAUGGUUCCCAGAGGGUGCAGAGAUGGUGUCGGGAAGCCCCGUCAGGAAGUUAGCGCCAGGGAAGCCACGUGAACAUGUCAUGAUCAUUGUUGGUGUCACAUCGAUUUCUGAGGGUGAAUUUCUGGCUAGUGCUGGACACACGCUAGCUUUUUGCCAUUCUCUCAUUCCUCUUGUCAAUGAAGCAUGAAAGGGACUUGUAAAUGAGCCAUUUGCUUCCUCUCUGCAUGGCCCAGGCCUCCCCACCCCCAGCCAUGCCUGGAAAUGAUGGCAGUUUAAGUGCAAACACAGGGACCCCUGUCUGACCAUGUCCCAUGCCAGGCUGAGGGUUAGUACAACGCAGGUGUCUUACAGAGCUUGCUUCCUACUCAGAGGUCGUUGGGAAGGUCAGUGAUGACUUCUCUGCUUCUGUCCACACUUCCUUCGCUGCUGUCCUAACCGGAAGCCAUCUCAUCGUGGUUUCUGCUCCCCACAUAUCCAUUCUCACUUUACGAAGAGUCAGAGAGGCAUGAAGCCCCAAACCUGCUGUGUGCUGGAAGAGACUCUGCUCAGAGGCAGUCCACACGUUCACAGCUUUAAAACGACUUGGCAGUUUGUCUAUAGCAUGUCCUGUGGCCUGAAAGGGAGUGAAAACCUGCCCACAUCUGUUAGUGAUUAAUUGAUCAGCUGUUGGAGCUUGAUGAACCUUUGUGACAGUCAAAUCAGCGGCUAAGCAUCCUGGUCCACUGGCCAGGGAU